AAAGAAGAAACAAAAUUACUUUUUUACAGCUAGGAACAUCUUGAGUUAAGUGAGGUCAAAAGGCAGGCAAUGUCUGAUUGUAGAAAGCAGAUAAGUGUGUAUGGGACUUGCACAUGCACUCACACAGACAACACAUACAGAGACACACAAGGCACCUGCUGACCACUUCCUGCCCUUGGGAUAGAAUUCUGAAGCAGAUGGUCCCUGAGGCCCCUUGCAGCAAGUGGCUAUUUCACACUGUCAGAAUCACAGUAGGGGGGACUGAAUGUAGCAAAAUCACAGUCCAAACCUCCAAACCCCUUGGCGCCAAUUUUCAACAGCCUUGUUUUUCAAUAGUGACUGCCUUUCCCAGAAUAUCUCAAAAACAAAGUAAAAAGAAAAAACAAGAAAAAG